AACUCAGGACAGACAGUGUGGUG
rnacentral:snRNA from 1 species